rnacentral:tRNA from 1 species
GUCGUUCGUCUCAAGUGAUACGUUAAUUGCUCAGUAGUGCUUCGCCACUACCGUAGCUGGCGGAAAUAGCUUAAUGGUAGAGCAUAGCCUUGCCAAGGCUGAGGUUGAGGGUUCAAGUCCCUCUUUCCGCUCUUGGCUUCGUCAUUUAGUGGUAACGAGUAGAGUAGGCAUCGCCUCUCGAUCCAAUCCGUC